UCACUGUUCCCUCAUUAUACCUAUCUGAUACCUAUAUUCAUUGUGCGCCCUCUAGAGAACAAAAUACCAUCAUCCAAAUCAAUCACAGAACGAAAGCGAGUUUUCCUAAAGUACAAAUAAAGUAAAUUCGUGUUUAAUGAACCAUGGUUUGUUAUAAUGACAUGAGUUGGAACGUUUCCAGUGUUGUCUCCAAAAUGUACCUACAACUAUUACCAAUCACAGCAAGGCCAGGAACACUAGCAAGUCCACAAUCGCAAAUUCCUACGCUUUCGUUUUGCUGGACCUUGGCAACAAUAUCCAAGGGAAGGGAUUCCAAGUCACAACACGGCAUUACAGUACUGUUGAAGACUCAUGAAAGUUACAUCUUAGCGUGAAGCUAAUGAAAGCUUGACGUAUGCUGGCAUAGUGCCCGGUCAAGUUGGGGGUUUUUCCAGUUAUGCUUUGUUUGUCUUAUGUUCUCAUAAUUCCUAGAUCCUAGUUCCUAUCCGAAUAAAUAUAGCAUUGAAAUCAA